rnacentral:tRNA from 1 species
GCCCGGGUGGCUCAAUCAGUUAAGCAUCCGACUUCGGCUCAGGUCAUGAUUUCAUGGUUGUGGGUUCAGGUCCCACAUCGGGCU